rnacentral:rRNA from 1 species
UAGGGAAUCUUCCACAAUGGACGCAAGUCUGAUGGAGCAACGCCGCGUGAGUGAAGAAGGUCUUCGGAUCGUAAAACUCUGUUGUUAGAGAGGAACACGAGUGAGAGUUAACUGUUCAUUCGAUGACGGUAUCUAACCAGCAAGUCACGGCUAACUACCAGCAG